UACGGAGGGGGCUAGCGUUGUUCGGAAUUACUGGGCGUAAAGCGCACGUAGGCGGCUUUGUAAGUUAGAGGUGAAAGCCCAGGGCUUAACCCUGGAAUUGCCUUUAAGACUGCAUCGCUAGAAUCGUGGAGAGGUGAGUGGAAUUCCGAGUGUAGAGGUGAAAUUCGUAGAUAUUCGGAAGAACACCAGUGGCGAAGGCGACUCACUGGACACGUAUUGACGCUGAGGAGCGAAAGCGUGGGGAGCGAACAGG
rnacentral:rRNA from 1 species